GGGGAGUGACCAACGAGCUGCGCUUUGAGCCACGCCCCGAAGGCAGUUCUCCCGCGAAAAUUCGAAAAGUGCCGUUUGAGUCAUCUUCGUUGCAGGUGGCUGGGAAGCCACUCAGAAAACUCAGGAGUGGGACACGGAGGGACAGACGACACUAGGUCGCCAGGCCGGUCCUUACCAGCGGGAGCAGCGCAGCAGCUUCUCCAGGCGGGCAAGCGCCGCGCGGCUGUGGGCCCAAAGCCCGUCGGUAGCCGGCUCCAUGGCGGGCACGGGAGCAGGCUGGUUCCCAGAGCAGACCCUCGGCGGCCGGCGUGGCAUUCCCACAGAGGAGGGGAGGUCAGGUUUGCUCUAGCGCCGCACCCCGCUGGUCACCGCCGGAUCCUGCUGCGUGCGGAGUCUCUGAAUUGGUCGGACGCCUCCGGCUCGGAGGCUGAAACGCGGUAAAACUCAGAGAUGGAAGGACCCGGCUUUAGGCCACGCCCUCAAGGCCUGAGGGCGGGGCUUUAGUAAUGCGGUCCAAGUUCCGGAAAUGGAGAGGCGAGGCUUGAGAGGCCACGCCCUCAGGAGGUGUAGGGCGGACCGCGGAAACCAAAGUGCCAAGGCGCGGGGUUGAGGAGGCGUGGGGAGAAGUCACCUAGGCCUGUGGCCCUAGGAGGCGGGGUAUAGCGCGCUCAAACUUCCUGAGCGGGAAACUGAGCGGCGGGGCCUCAGGCCACGCCUUCAAAGAGGCGGGGCUCCCCAUGGGUUUCAUUCCCACCCCCUCUCAGUUUACUGAAACUGUGCUUACCUAGAAGUUGGAUUCUAACCCUCCCAUAGCCUCAGGAGCUUGCCGCUGAAGCCAUCUACAAAGAGUGGCAUUCAAGCUACUGUUGAACUUGGACAAGCUUUUCCCAUGACAAUAAAAGUACUACCCUUUAU
rnacentral:lncRNA from 1 species